rnacentral:rRNA from 1 species
AUAUUAUUAAGCGGAGGAAAAGAACUAACCAGGAUUCCUUUAGUAACGGCGAGUGAACAAGGAAGAGCCCAUCACCGAAUCCAUCCCGGUAAACGGAAAUGGAAUUGUGGUGUAAAGGACAGGUUUCGUUGCAGCGUCACUGACCCAAGUUCUCUUGAAUGGGGCUUCCCAGAGCGGGUGUCAGGCCUCUAGCGGUCAGGCGACGUUGUACCUUUUCUUGUCCCGAGAGUCGGGUUGCUUGAGAUCGCAGCCCUAAGACGGGUGGUAUACUCCAUCCAAGGCUAAAUACCGUCGCGAGACCGAUAGCGCACAAGUA